ACCUGGCUGGCUCAAUUGGUAGAGCAUAUGAUUCUUGAUCUUGGGGUUGGGAGUUUAAGUCCCACCUUGGGUG
rnacentral:tRNA from 1 species